GAAAACGCUGGCUCGUCUUGUAUAUAACAACUGUCUACAGAUUACAUUAACAAAUAAAGGGCAACCAUGGCAUCCAUGACAGAGACAUGAAGUGAUGUAUAGUUUCUUGGAGUACAGAACACCUUGAGCGUGAACUAUGCGAAAACAUACAGAGUCAACAAAGUCGACAGACCUACAUAUUUUCGGGUUUGCAGUGCAACAACUAUUUUAAGACCUGACGUGACACUGUUCAUCCAGCUGCUGCACAGCUGAAUUGUGCCACCACUGUCACCUCUUCAUUCGCCUAACAAAGAAUGCAUUUAUCCAUGCUGUUUAGAGAAGUCCAUACUAGUCCUUGGCCCCAGCAGAUGUCACCACUACAAGACAUUUGAAGAAGCUACCAGACACACCAGGGAGAGAUGGGGAGGAUGUGUACAUCUGUCGCCAAGGAUGGACACAUCUUUCCUGUCUCUCCUCCUCUCAGUCAUGAUCAUCAGAGGCCUCCAUCCAGUUUCUACCCAUAAGGGAACAUUUACUAUGAAAUAUAAUUAAACAUUAAGUAAACAUUUUACUGUUUAGAAUGUAAUGGUAUGUUCA